rnacentral:tRNA from 1 species
AUUGUUAUAGUUUAAAUUAAAAUAUUGAAUUGUGGUUUCAAAGUUAUCUAACAAUAA